CAGUAUAUUGACUGUACAAAGGUAGCAUAAUCAUUAGUCUCUUAAUUGGUGACUUGUAUGAAAGAUUGGAUGAAAUAUAAAUUGUCUCUUUAAUAAAAAUUGAAUUUAAUUUUUUAAUAAAAAAGUUAAAAUAAAUUAAAAAGACGAGAAGACCCUAUAGAGUUUAUAUAUUUAAAUUUAUUUAAUUUUUUAAUAUUUUUAUUAAUUUAAAUAAAUUUAAAUAUUUUAUUGGGGUGAUAGAAAAAUAAAAAAAACUUUUUUUAAAUAAAAACAUGAAUAAGUGAUUUUUUGAUCCAAUUUUAUUGAUUAUAAGAAAAAAUUACCUUAGGGAUAACAGCGUAAUUUUUUUUUUUAGUUCAUAUAAAAAAAAAA
rnacentral:rRNA from 1 species